rnacentral:lncRNA from 1 species
GGAUCGCACGAGACACCAUCUGGAGCUCAUCUCACUACCAUUCCUCAUCGCCUUAUGGGAUUCAAACACCUUCGCCGUUGGUGAUGCAAACACCUCCACAUUCUUUAUUCUACCAAUGUGGGUCAUCCUCCUAACACUCACAACCGGACCAACCAUAACCCCCACCAAAUCAACCACAACCUUUGCCGGAGUAACCAAGGAGGAAUCCAGUGCGUAAUCGUCAACCACCC